rnacentral:rRNA from 1 species
UACGUAGGGGGCAAGCGUUGUCCGGAAUCAUUGGGCGUAAAGAGCGUGUAGGCGGUUCGGUAAGUCGGCUGUGAAAGUCCAGGGCUCAACCCUGGGAUGCCGGUCGAUACUGCCCGGACUAGAGUUCGGAAGAGGCGAGUGGAAUUCCCGGUGUAGCGGUGAAAUGCGCAGAUAUCGGGAGGAACACCUAUGGCGAAGGCAGCUCGCUGGGACGUUACUGACGCUGAGACGCGAAAGCGUGGGGAGCAAACAGG